UACGUAGGGGGCGAGCGUUGUCCGGAUUUAUUGGGCGUAAAGAGCGUGUAGGCGGCCAGGUAGGUCUGCUGUGAAAACUCGAGGCUCAACCUCGAGACGUCGGCGGAAACCAUCUGGCUAGAGUCCGGAAGAGGAGAGUGGAAUUCCCGGUGUAGCGGUGAGAUGCGCAGAUAUCGGGAAGAACACCCGUGGCGAAGGCGGCUCUCUGGGACGGUACUGACGCUGAGACGCGAAAGCGUGGGGAGCGAACAGG
rnacentral:rRNA from 1 species